rnacentral:piRNA from 1 species
UCCACAGCACCUUCAAUGGAUGGUUUUCU